rnacentral:rRNA from 1 species
AGUGAACGCUGGCGGCGUGCUUAACACAUGCAAGUCGAACGAGAACGGGUUAUAGCUUGCUAUAAUUGUCAGCUAAGUGGCGCACGGGUGAGUAAUGUAUAGGUAAUAUGCCUAUUACUAAGGGAUAACAAAUGGAAACGUUUGCUAAUACCUUAUACUCCUUAUUAACAUAAGUUAAUAAGGGAAAGAUUUAUUGGUAAGAGAUUAGCCUGUAUUGUAUCAGUUAGUUGGUGGGGUAAUGGCUUACCAAGACUAUGACACAUAACUGGUUUGAGAGGAUGAGCAGUCACGCUGGAACUGAGACACGGUCCAGACUCCUACGGGAGGCAGCAGUGGGGAAUAUUGCACAAUGGACGAAAGUCUGAUGCAGCAACGCCGCGUGGAGGAUGACACAUUUCGGUGCGUAAACUCCUUUUAUAUGAGAAGAUAAUGACGGUAUUAUAUGAAUAAGCACCGGCUAACUCCGUGCCAGCCGCCGCGGUAACAC